UGCAAGUCGAACGGUCUUUUCUAUGGAAGCUUGCUUCCACUGAGAAGAUAGUGGCGAACGGGUGAGUAACACGUGGGUAACCUGCCCAUAAGAGGGGGAUAACAUCCGGAAACGGGUGCUAAUACCGCAUAGUUUUCUUGGUCGCAUGAUCGGGAAAGGAAAGACGGCCUUUGUGCUGUCGCUUAUGGAUGGACCCGCGGCGUAUUAGUUAGUUGGUGAGGUAACGGCUCACCAAGACGAUGAUACGUAGCCGACCUGAGAGGGUGAUCGGCCACAUUGGGACUGAGACACGGCCCAAACUCCUACGGGAGGCAGCAGUAGGGAAUCUUCCGCAAUGGACGAAAGUCUGACGGAGCAACGCCGCGUGAGUGAAGAAGGUUUUCGGAUCGUAAAACUCUGUUGUCAGAGAAGAACAAGUUGGAGAGUAACUGCUCCAGCCUUGACGGUAUCUGACCAGAAAGCCACGGCUAACUACGUGCCAGCAGCCGCGGUAAUGCGUAGGUGGCAAGCGUUGUCCGGAUUUAUUGGGCGUAAAGCGAGCGCAGGCGGUUCCUUAAGUCUGAUGUGAAAGCCCACGGCUCAACCGUGGAAGGUCAUUGGAAACUGGGGAACUUGAGUGCAGAAGAGGAGAGUGGAAUUCCAUGUGUAGCGGUGAAAUGCGUAGAUAUAUGGAGGAACACCAGUGGCGAAGGCGACUCUCUGGUCUGUAACUGACGCUGAGGCUCGAAAGCGUGGGGAGCAAACAGGAUUAGAUACCCUGGUAGUCCACGCCGUAAACGAUGAGUGCUAAGUGUUGGAGGGUUUCCACCCUUCAGUGCUGCAGCUAACGCAUUAAGCACUCCGCCUGGGGAGUACGGCCGCAAGGCUGAAACUCAAAGGAAUUGACGG
rnacentral:rRNA from 1 species